rnacentral:rRNA from 1 species
AUGGAGAAGAGGUCGGGGAAGCGCGCGGCAAAAGGGGGGGUCUCCGGCCCACCGAUCAAACCAGAACAUAGUUGCCGAGCCGGACCCCACCGAGAUGGAAGUCCUGAUGCGAAGGACAGGGAGAAGCUGGACGACCGAUUGCCAGAACUACGAGCCGCCAGAUCUCUGACAAAAGGCAAGGGGCUGUCCACGCAAGUACUUAUUCCGGAUGAUGUCGAGCCAGAGGCCACCAUGGCCUUGCGAGAUGCGCCAGAGCCAUCGGGACAGGAGGGCGAUAUUCAUGAGCUUGGAACACAUGAUACCGAGGCCGCCCUGUUCCCUAGGCUUGCAAAUGUCAGGCCAGCUGACCGUAUGAUAUUUCUGCUUAUUGUGGUCGCCGGCCCAAUAGAAGCGGGACUGGAUUUUGGUGAUCUCAUGGUGCAGAGUCUCAUGGAGGCUGUAGAAGCUCAUGAGGAACAGGAGGAGGCUGGAGAGGGAUGA